UACAGAGGGGGCAAGCGUUAUUCGGAAUUAUUGGGCGUAAAGGGCGCGUAGGCGGCCUUCUAAGUCGGACGUGAAAUCCCUCGGCUCAACCGAGGAACUGCGUCCGAUACUGAAAGGCUUGAAUCCGGGAGAGGGAUGUGGAAUUCCAGGUGUAGCGGUGAAAUGCGUAGAUAUCUGGAAGAACACCGGUGGCGAAGGCGGUCUGCUGGGCAGUAGCUGACACUGAGGCGCGACAGCGUGGGGAGCAAACAGG
rnacentral:rRNA from 1 species